rnacentral:rRNA from 1 species
UGCCAGCCGCCGCGGUAAUACGGGGGGGGCUAGCGUUGUUCGGAAUUACUGGGCGUAAAGCGCGCGUAGGCGGUUCGGCAAGUUAGGUGUGAAAGCCCGGGGCUCAACCCCGGAAUUGCACUUAAAACUGCUGGGCUAGAGGCCGAGAGAGGUGAGUGGAAUUCCCAGUGUAGAGGUGAAAUUCGUAGAUAUUGGGAAGAACACCAGUGGCGAAGGCGGCUCACUGGCUCGGAUCUGACGCUGAGGUGCGAAAGCGUGGGGAGCAAACAGGAUUAGAUA